GGACUUGGAGAAUCCGACUGUCUAAUUAAAACAAAGCGUUGUGAUGGCCCUAAUGGGUGUUGCCACAAUGUGCUUUCUGCCCAGUGCUCUGAAUGUCAAAGUGAUGAAAUUCAAGUAAGCGCGGGUAAACGGCGAAAGUAACUAUGACUUUCUUUUUUUUCUUUUUUUUUUAGCCAAAUGCCUCGUCAUCUAAUUAGUGACGCGCAUGAAUGGAUUAUCGACAUUCUU
rnacentral:ncRNA from 1 species